ensembl:lncRNA
AGCAGGUACCCAUGUGCCAUCUCCUCAUUGGUUAUACCCACGUGGGUGAUUGAAAGACUAACUGUUUUGCCGGUCGUCUUGGUAAUACUAUGAAGUUUAGAUGCCAAUCACCAUAUAAGUUCAAAGAUGAAAAAGCAGGGAAGGAGGAGAGAUGACCGUUUUAUGUGUGCAUUAAUUGUCAGAGUAGAGGACCUUGUGCAUUUCAGGUAAAAUAACAACUCAAUUUUUAUAUCCCAGGACAAAUUAGCUAGCAACAGCAAGCUAGCUAAAUAGGAUAAAUUAGCUAGCAUGUGCAAGCUAGCUAGCUAAAUUGCCAUACAUAUUUAAUGCUUUUCGACCUGACCCCAAAUGAAUGUAAUUGGUUCAGAGUUUGUUUUGAUAUUUUAACCUGCGGGUCGUGAUCGCGUUUGGUGUUGGGGGGACAAAAUAAAUUUAUGCACGAUGGCGCACGCGCGCAGCCAGUUUGGGUUCCGUGUUAGCGAAUGUUCUCUCUGCAUGGUGUAUUGGGAAACGCAUGUUACAUCUUCGACCGUUGCAGGAAAGAUGCAUUGUUAAAACACUCUUAAGCCUAAAUGACAUCGCUAUCAGGAAACUGGGCCGUCGUUUUUACCAGUCAACCACUGCAUCGUUUUUACCAGUCAACUUUUUAAGUGUUUCCCAAACAAGCACCUAGAGAGAACAUUCGCCAAGUGCGCCAUGUGUCGAGACUGACAGGAUCGAAGGUAAUGCACAGCUGCUCUCGGAUCAGCUUUCUCCAUUAAAAUCUUACCUUAACGUUAUAAUUAUUCCACAAUACUGAUGAUGGAUCAGCUCAUAGAGAAAUAUUAGCUUUGUUAUAACACUCAAAUCAUCCUCUCCUAAUUUACCUUACUUUAAGGACAAGUGGUCAUCAGGUAGACUAGCGGUUAAGACCGAAAGGUCACUGUUUAUAAUCACCGAGCCGACUAGGGGGAAAAAAUCUGUUGAUUAUGCCCUUGAGCAAGGCACUUAACCCUAGUAAGUCACUCUGGAAAAGAGUGUCUGCUAAAUGUCAGGAAAAAAUUACUAAAAAUAUUACUGGAGGAAAUUCAAGCUCAUGUUAUUUUAUUUCAUGUUAUAGUAGUUUCUCUCUUGCAACUGCCAAGAUUAACAUCUGUUUUCAAUACAAGUCAUUGUCCUGACCUUUGAUUUCAGCAUGGCUCCAUAAAACACAUAAAAAUAUGUACUACAAAAAAAGAAAAACCUUGAAUGUCAAUGCUAUCUUUCUCUUCCUGCAUGAGUUGUACUCAUUGAUCAUGAUACAUGCCCAUGCAUGCUUGUGGCAGUCUUCGGAAGGUUACUUUAUGAACAGCUGUUUUUGCAUCUUUUGCUAGACCUCUCGGGAUAAGAUAAGACGCUGCUGUGUGCCAUGAAAUCAAGUGCCUUCAGACUUAGUGGAAGAUUACGUGAAUGGAAAACCCGACAUUGGCUAGUUUACCAUCCAAGCAUUUGCCCCUUAGGCACAUUUUAUAGAGAUAGAAUCGAUCAUGCUGUAAUCUGCAGCUAACUCUAGUAUCAAGGGUCAACUCUGCAUGUGGUGGCACAGUGUCAAAUUAUGGAUAUCUACACCGCUCUCUUUAUUUUGACCUAGGAGAAUGACUUUACUGCCCUUGACAGUCUAGCCUUUUGGAGUGGGACUUGUGCUCAAGCAGAGAAAGGAUGGUGGCCAAGCUUUGUCAGAGUGACUGAGCGAGAACGGGGAGCUCUUAGAAAUAAGCAAUGGGCUCUGACAAAAAAUCGACUUGUAGGGAGGGAUGCUUUUGAAGUCUACCAAUUCAUUUCAGCUGGACUCGCUGAGAAAGACAUUAUUGUGACUUCGUCCAAGGACUGUGAAAGGAAGACCUUUCAAGUGUGACUCUUACGGCUGAUAAUGGCCUUGGCUUACCUGGGUGUCUGUCAGUCCAUUAGAUCAGGCUGUGUGGUUCUCACAGACCUAUUUUAGUACUCAAAUGAGAGUGUAACUCUACUUUUACAGAAACUGUAAAGACCUUGGAACUACCUGAGACCAUGAGUUACCUUAACCAGCUGGUUUAAAAAAUAAAAAAAAGUAUUGUAAAAUGACUCUACUAUUGUUCGUAAAAAAAAAUGUUUUGGGAGAAAAUGUAGAUUUCCCUUUUUAUUUUCUGAUUCCUUUUUAUUUAUUUUUUACAGAAUAAUCAGAAAUAGGCUUUGAGGGCCCUAUUCCGACUUGGGAAAUUACGCCUUUCUUACGCACACCUUUCUUACGCACUUCUCAGUAGGCCGCGACAGUAUUUACAGAGGAAGCAAAUGAAGGUAAAUGAAACAAUGUACUUAAAUGGAAUGAUAAUGUAGGCUAUACCAACUGAAGGGAAGUAACAGUAAAUUGGCAGUAGAAUAUGUGUGGUUAUUAGGCCUACUGGCGGUCGUGACUAAUAUUUAACAUGAUAAAAAUAGGAAACGGAGACAGUCGGGGUAGCAUAUAAUUAAGACAUUAGAGAGUGCCCAUCCCUGCAAGUUAAAAGGCAGUACAAUUUAAAUUCUGCAUAUUUCAUUUUAUAAACUUUACUGUGGGAAAGUUGAUAUGUUGAUAUGCUUCAGUUUGCUGCCAUAUGAAUGGUUUCACAUUCGUCUCCAGUGAUAUUGAGGUAAAAUAUAUCUAAAAACAAGUGUCAUUUAUAUUUAUAAUUCCUUUAUCCAAACAGAUUACUCAUUCACCCAGCUCUUCUUAAUAGCUCUUAUCCAGCUGUAAAUAGCAGUGCAGAAUAAAGUAGAUGCCUUUUUCCACUUGGAGCCGGUAGGUUUGCUAGACCUUAUUCAUGGUUUAUUCUCACGUAAAGGUGGUGGAAAUAUUAGGGAAUUAAGUCAGAAUAUGGUGUAUCUGCAGACACACUUCCGCCACUCUUUCAUUUGCUCGAUCUCCACCCAAAACGAAUAGCAGGUGAAUAGCAUGCUAUUCUCAUGUUUAUGUUCAAGGUCAGAAUACGCGUAGAGAGUGUGUUAAAAAGGGAAUUACGUUCCAUUAUCCCAUGCUUAACUCAGGUCGGAAUCGGGCCCUAAGCAAAUACAUAUGGUGAACACCACAUUAUAAAAUAUUCUAUAAGAAAACAUUUGUCAUUCAAAAAGCACAAGAUAACACAAAACAGAUUUUGACUAAAUUUAGUACAUUUCUCACACAGAUUUAGGCCGAGACAGUUCCUCUCAGCAACCUGUUAAAACAGAAGAAAAUGUGUUCUUCUCUGUUCGAUGAAAUUAUUAAUGUAAAUCAUAGCAUGUGUGGUCACUUUUAAUAAUGGAAAAUAUAAAAUUUCAUUGAACAGUUCGCUUUAUAACUUCCAUUCUCCCAUGUCUCUCAAUUCAAUAUCUGAUUGCGUUGUUUAUCUGCAGACGUUAAAGGGAAAAUCCACUCAAACUAUAUUUUGGUAUUUUUUUCAUUAGUCAUGAUGCAUUCAAAACAACUAGGAGCUUCGGACCUCGGAAAUCUCAGACGUCAGUAUGAUCAAAACAACUGGGAACUCGGGAAAACAAAUGAGCUCAGACUGGGGAAAAUUGUUUUGGACGGUCAAUCCAACUCGUCAUUUCAAGCUCCGACUUUCUGACCAGAAGAUCAUUGACAUCAUGAUUUGACCUUGUUUCUUAAUGAGUUCCCAGUUGUUUUGAAAGCACCGUCAUUUCAAGAGGCAAAGUGUUCCUGGCCGCAUCAUCAUGACGAUGCAAAAUGCAUCAGAUGAUGUAGCCGAUGACACUUUCAUUCUUGAAAGUCCGAUAUCUUUAAAACUUCACUUGCUCACAUGCAAAACAUUUUAGGACUGUAUCAACAGUGGACUAAUGAAGAAUAUAUCAAAAGAUAGUGUUUGGCUGGAUUUUCCCUCAUGACUACUUGUGUUUAUUAUUUCUAAGUAAUGGAUACAGAUACAGCAGAUACAUUUUUCAACUCUCCUUUCCAUUGCUUCUGGUUUGCUCUGUCAUUCUAUACUGAACUAAAAUAUAAACACAACAUGUAAAGUGUUGGUCCCAUGUUUCAUGAGCUGAAAUAAAAAAUCCCAGAAAGUUACCAUAUGCAUAAAAAGCUUAUUUCUCUCAAAGUUUAUGCACAUAUUUGGGGGUGCUGAGGAAUAUUUCUGUUUUUAAUAAAGCCCUUUUGUGGGUAAAAACUAUUUCCGAUUGGCUGGAUCUGGCUCGCAAGUAGGUGGGCCCAUGCCCUCCCAGGCCCAUCCAUGGCUGCGCCCAGUCAUGUGAAAUCCAUAGAUUAGGGCCUAAUGAAGUUAUUUCAAUUGAAUGAUUUCCUUUUAUGAACUGUAUCUCAGUAAAAUCUUUGAAAGUGUUGCAUGUUGCGUUUAUAUUUUUGUUCAGUAAAAACAUACAGUUGAAGUCAGAAGUUUACAUACACCUUAGCCAAAUACAUUUAAACUCAGUUUUCCACAAUUCCUGACAUUUAAUCCUGGUAAAAGUUCCCUGUUUUAGGUCAGUUAGGAUCACCACUUUAUUUUAAGAAUAUAAAAUGUCAGAAUAAUAGUAGAGAGAAUUAUUUGUUUCAGCUUUUAUUUCUUUCAUCACAUUCCCAGUGGGUCAGAUGUUUACAUACACUCAAUUAGUAUUUGGUAGCAUUUCCUUUAAAUUGUUUAACUUGGGUCAAACGUUUCAGAUAGCCUUCCACAAGCUUCCCACGAUAAGUUGGGUGAAUUUUGGCCUAUUCCGCCUGACAGCCUGUGUAACUGAGUCAGGUUUGUAGGCCUCCUUGCUCACACACGCUUUUUCAGUUCUUCCCACUCCAAUACCUUGAAUUUGUUGUCCUUAAGCCAUUUUGCCACAACUUUGGAAGUGUGCUUGGGGUCAUUGCCCAUUUGCAAGACCCAUUUGCGACUAAGUUUUAACUUCCUGACUGAUGUCUUGAGAUGUUGCUUGAAUAUAUCCACAUAAUUUUCCUUUCCUCAUGAUGCCAUCUAUUUUGUGAAGUGCACCAGUCCCUCCUGCAGCAAAGCACCCCCACAACAUGAUGCUGCCACCCCUGUGCUUCACGGUUGGGAUGUUGUUCUUCGGCUUGCAAGCCACCCCCUUUUCCCUCCAAACAUAACGAUGGUCAUUAUGGCCAAACAGUUCUAUUUUUGUUUCAUCAGACCAGAGGACAGUUGCAAACCGUAGCCUGGCUUUUUUAUGGCGGUUUUGGAGCUAUGGCUUCUUCCUUGCUGAGCGGCCUUUCAGGUUAUGUCGAUAUAGGACUUGUUUUACUGUGGAUAUAGAUACUUUUGUACCUGUUUCCUCCAGCAUCUUCACAAGGUCCUUUGCUGUUGUUCUGGGAUUGAUUUGCAUUUUUCACAUCAAAGUACGUUCAUCUCUAGGAGACAGAACGCGCCUCCUUCCUGAGCGGUGUGACGGCUGCAUGGUCCCAUGGUGUUUAUACUUGUGUACUAUUGUUUGUACAGAUGAAUGUGUUACUUUCAGGCGUUUGGAAAUUGCUCCCAAGGAUGAACCAGACUUGUGGAGGUCUAAAAAAAACAAUCUGAGGUCUUGGCUUAUUUCUUUUGAUUUUCCUAUGACGUCAAGCAAAGAGGCACUGAGUUUGAAGGUAGACCUUGAAAUACAUCCACAGGUACACCUCCAAUUGACUCAAAUGAUGUCAAUUAGCCUAUCAACUUCUAAAGCCAUGACAUCAUUUUCUGGAAUUUUCCAAGCUGUUUAAAGGCACAGUCAACUUAGUGUAUGUAAACUUCUGACCCCCUAGAACUGUGAUACAGUGAAUUAUAAGUGAAAUAAUCUGUCUGUGAACAAUUGUUUGAAAAAUGACUUGUGUCACGUACAAAGUAGAUGUCAAAACCGUCUUGCCAGAACUAUAAGUUUGUUAACAAGAGAUUUGUGGAGUGGUUGAAAAACAAGUUUUAAUGACUCCAACCUAAAUGUAUGUUAACUUCCGACUUCAACUGUAAGUACCGCAAGCAAACUCAUUUUAUUUGAUUAAUUUCAUUGCUUUUUAAUGUGUGUCGACAAAACAAAUUCUCUCCUAGCCUACCAUCUUGAGCCAAGUGAGUGUUUCAAUUCUACCCUCAAAGUAAACCCAUAUAUUCUAUUGUACAGCAGAUUUCAACUGGCACUUUAACUCAAUAAUGCAUUUGCUCAAAUGGGGACAAAAUAAAUGUAUUAUUUGGGGUAAUCAUUCUCUUGACAACAACACCCCAGAACAGAACUUCAUCUAACUGUAUCAGAAAAAAAAAUUUUUUAUAACUUAUAUUAUCUGCAACAGACUUCCAGUCAUUAUUUGGAUUUGAUUUCCCAGAUGAUUGCUUUGCAUUAUUACGAAUAAAUACCCUUCAAAUGUC